UAACAUAUUCUGAGCAAAUAUUGUCCUAGCCUGGUUCUGAGAAUUCUCUGUGUGCCUUUUCUUGUGGAAUCAGAGGCAUGGAGCGGGCACCCAGCCAGGGGCUCUGGCUCAAUACACUGGGGCUGGCAGCAGGCUCUUUUCAAGGAUUUGGACCUAUGGCUUUAGCACCCAGUAUCUUCUUCUGAAUUGGUCUCCAAAUGUAAUCCAGUCAUUUGAUAACAACAUGGCCUCUUCGCAAGCUGCUGCCACUGCAAGGAACACCUUGAAAGCCACGUUCCUGAAAACCAACACUGCUCAUAGGUGUUGCGGAUGGGAGCUGUUUGAAUAAGAACCACCACCUACUCCUUCAAAAAGCUGUUUGCGUCUCUCUACAGCUAUAGGCAAGCAGCCUGUUAAAGCAGCACCUGAAGUAUCCUCUGAGUGGCACAUCCUCCCUCUCUAAGAUCUAUUAUAUGGCUUGUGGAUAGUUCACUGACUGACAAGGAAAGUGAGAUAACAAGAGAGGGGAGAGACAUUUCAUGGAAGACCCUCCAUCCCUCACAAGGGAGUUUUGGAUGGGGUGUAGGACUCUGGCAUACAGGGGAAAUCCUGCAGAUCCCCUGUGUUGGGCUUCAUAGUCCCAGGAUGUUCAGAAGAGAAUUCUGCAUGUCCCCUGUGUGAGGAUUCAGAGCUUUGGAAUUGGUUGGUCUUGGGAUACAAUGGAACUGUACUCACUGGUGCCUCCACAGAAACAGAGUUACAUCAGUAUUGUCUAAUGUUGCCAUCUCUGAGGUACAAAGAAACAGAACAUCUGGGAUGACCCUGAGCCCAUAAAACUGGACAGCUGGCAGUGUGUACUGAGCACCUGUAGAGAUUUCCCAUGACAGCUACCUCAAAAAAGGGACAGUCAUGGGAAAACCUGGACAGGUGGCAUCCCUAGUAUUGUCCACAAUUAUUUCUUGUCGGGGAGUCUGGUAUGGGAACAACUGUGAGCUCCCCACAGCCAGUAAUCCAAUAGCAUUCUCACUAGUUACCUCUGAAGGCCAUACAAGGUGGGUUCCCAGCCUGUGAGUUGCACCUGGCCUCCCUUUUUUUAUGGCUAAGGGGAAGAAAGGGAGCCAUCCUGAACCUCCUUUCUAUUGUAACAUGGGUCACAAUAUGGAAAAGGGUGAGAAGUAUUCACUGCUUUACAGCAUUCCCUACCAUGAUUUCUAGUAUGGGAGGCAACCAUUGAAGUAUCUAUGAGCUCAUUGUAGCCAAUGCCCCAGAGUCAUUAAUGCAAUGAAAUCCUACUGGGCAUUUGUUAUACUAACUUCUGCUGGGGAAACUCUCCCACAGCCAGCGUGUGAAAUAAUACAGCAUAGGUGGCUCUGACAUUCAAGCUGGGUUUUCUGAGGAGUGUUCUGUUCAUGAGGCCCACACUGCACAACCAGAAUAGUAAUAAUAAGGGCUUGCCCCAAUCUGACUAGUUACAUGCUAACCCUAGCUUGAAAUUACAGAGCUGCAGAGCAAGGUAAAUGUGCUAAGUCUGACUUGAGGGGCAGUGCAAACAAGCAAAAAACAGGCUAAUCUUUGUUUACCUGUUGCCAACUCUCAUGAUUUUGUCAUGAGUCUCGUGAUAAUUACUGUGUUCCUUAAAGCCCAUGGAAUCACGUGGAUGCGUGAUGAUUCCCGCCUUCAUUCUUAAAGAAAAAGUAAGUGUCUAGCCCUCAUGGUUGUGGAGAAAGCUUCAAAAUGUGAUCUCAGUGCAUCCUAAAGGCUCAAAAAGCAGAAGGCAAAUAAAAAGAACACCAACUCUA